GAUGAACGCUGGCGGCGUGCCUAAUACAUGCAAGUCGAGCGAACAGACGAGGAGCUUGCUCCUCUGACGUUAGCGGCGGACGGGUGAGUAACACGUGGAUAACCUACCUAUAAGAAUGGGAUAACUUCGGGAAACCGGGGCUAAUAUCGGAUAACAUGUUGAACCGCAUGGUUCAACAGUGAAAGACGGUCUUGCUGUCACUUAUAGAUGGAUCCGCGCCGCAUUAGCUAGUUGGUAAGGAAACGGCUUACCAAGGCAACGAUGCGUAGCCGACCUGAGAGGGUGAUCGGCCACACUGGAACUGAGACACGGUCCAGACUCCUACGGGAGGCAGCAGUAGGGAAUCUUCCGCAAUGGGCGAAAGCCUGACGGAGCAACGCCGCGUGAGUGAAGAAGGUCUUCGGAUCGUAAAACUCUGUUAUUAGGGAAGAACAAAUGUGUAAGUAACUAUGCACGUCUUGACGGUACCUAAUCAGAAAGCCACGGCUAACUACGUU
rnacentral:rRNA from 1 species